rnacentral:rRNA from 1 species
GACGAACGCUGGCGGCGUGCCUAAUACAUGCAAGUCGAGCGGCAGCGGGACCUUCGGGUUGCCGGCGAGCGGCGGACGGGUGAGUAAUGCCUAGGAAUCUGCCUGUUAGUGGGGGAUAACGCGGGGAAACUCGCGCUAAUACCGCAUACGUCCUACGGGAGAAAGCGGGGGCUCUUCGGACCUCGCGCUAACAGAUGAGCCUAGGUCGGAUUAGCUAGUUGGUGGGGUAAUGGCCCACCAAGGCGACGAUCCGUAACUGGUCUGAGAGGAUGAUCAGUCACACUGGAACUGAGACACGGUCCAGACUCCUACGGGAGGCAGCAGUGGGGAAUAUUGGACAAUGGGCGAAAGCCUGAUCCAGCCAUGCCGCGUGUGUGAAGAAGGUCUUCGGAUUGUAAAGCACUUUAAGUCGGGAGGAAGGACUGUAGGCUAAUACCUUGCAGUUUUGACGUUACCGACAGAAUAAGCACCGGCUAACUUCGUGCCAGCAGCCGCGGUAACAC